GAGUUUGAUCCUGGUUCAGGAUGAACGCUAGCGACAGGCUUAACACAUGCAAGUCGAGGGGCAGCAUAGAAGUAGCAAUACUUUGGUGGCGACCGGCGCACGGGUGAGUAACGCGUAUGCAACCUACCUAUCAGAGGGGAAUAACCCGGCGAAAGUCGGACUAAUACCGCAUAAAACAGGGGCACCGCAUGGUGAUAUUUGUUAAAGAAAUUCGCUGAUAGAUGGGCAUGCGUUCCAUUAGGUAGUUGGUGAGGUAACGGCUCACCAAGCCGACGAUGGAUAGGGGAACUGAGAGGUUGGUCCCCCACACUGGUACUGAGACACGGACCAGACUCCUACGGGAGGCAGCAGUGAGGAAUAUUGGUCAAUGGGCGAGAGCCUGAACCAGCCAAGUCGCGUGAAGGAAGAAGGAUCUAUGGUUCGUAAACUUCUUUUGCAGGGGAAUAAAGUGCAGGACGUGUCCUGUUUUGUAUGUACCCUGAGAAUAAGGAUCGGCUAACUCCGUGCCAGCAGCCGCGGUAAUAC
rnacentral:rRNA from 1 species